rnacentral:tRNA from 1 species
GGUGGGGUUAGCUUAGUGGUAGAGCACAAACUUAGCACAUGUAAGACCCUGUGUUUGAGCCUCAGCACCACCA